GAAGUCGGCAGCCAAGUGCGACUGCCUGGGGAAUCCUUCCACCCAGCGGCUCACCCGGCCCCAGCCCCAGCCCCUGACCCUACCCGGAGGAAAGGAGAAACUGGCUUCUCUUCGGGGGGCCAAGCACAGUGCAAGGCACAGAAUAUCCCAAAUAUUGCUUGCUUGCUUGAUUCCUGACCCUCAAUACCGUCAGGGAGGACCUGGAGCCAUUCAGAUGCAACACUCUGGGCCUGGCCUCUGCAGGAGCUGAGGAAUCUCAUUUGAGCACUGGUCAAAGAGGCUGUAAACACUGAAUUCAAUAUAAGGCAUUUUUUUAAAAGUUGUUUGGUGGAGUACUAUGGUGCUCAAAGGAAUAAUAAAGUGGAGCAAUUCCAUGGGGACUGGAACA
rnacentral:lncRNA from 1 species